CCUACGGGGGGCUGCAGUGAGGAAUAUUGGUCAAUGGGCGCAAGCCUGAACCAGCCAAGUCGCGUGAGGGAUGACGGUCCUAUGGAUUGUAAACCUCUUUUGUCGGGGAGCAAGGCCCGCCACGUGUGGCGGGAAGGAGAGUACCCGAAGAAAAAGCAUCGGCUAACUCCGUGCCAGCAGCCGCGGUAAUACGGAGGAUGCGAGCGUUAUCCGGAUUUAUUGGGUUUAAAGGGUGCGUAGGCGGAAGGUUAAGUCAGCGGUAAAAUGUCGGUGCUCAACACCGGCCUGCCGUUGAAACUGGUCUUCUUGAGUGAGCGAGAAGUAUGCGGAAUGCGUGGUGUAGCGGUGAAAUGCAUAGAUAUCACGCAGAACUCCGAUUGCGAAGGCAGCAUACCGGCGCUCAACUGACGCUGAGGCACGAAAGCGUGGGGAUCGAACAGGAUUAGAUACCCUGGUAGUC
rnacentral:rRNA from 1 species